GGGCCUGCUGACACUAAAAUUUUCAGAGGUAGAUUAUGGAGAUUUACAGCUUCUGUUCUUGGUGCAUGUGGACAGUUUUUUUGCUCUUCAUGUGCAGCAGGUGUGAUGUGGGAAGCAUUGGGCCCAUCUUUUUGGUCCUAUCUGCACCUGCAGAUCUGCAAGGGCUGCUCUUGGAUCUCAUGAAGAAGUUCAAGCAAGCAGAUAAGAUCAUAUAUUGCAAGGGAUCACAUAUAAGGAAAAGAUAUAUUAAAGCAAACAAUUGCACGAGGACUCUUAGUAAGACGGAGGGCUGGAAGACGGGUACUCGUGACCACUGACAAGCUCUUGAGGAUGAGCUGCGGGAUCACCUCAAACACACCUCAACUCAGAACUGUGUGUGAAACUUCUGCCACAGAGCUAGUGAAAAUGUGCUUUGUGGUAUGUGAUGGAAAGGACCCAGUACCUCUGAUGGUGCACUUGAAACUCACAGAAGAAUUGGGCACUGGACAAAGUGUAGCCCUUGAGCAUCCCACAGUAUCUCAGCUUAGCUGGGCAUUUUAAAUAUAUGAUCUGUGUUGCUGGUUUUGAGAGACGACCUGCCAUGCUAUUGUGGUAACUGCUUGUUUUUCAGUACUCAGAGUCCUUAAUAUCCUUAGGUGAAAAAGGGGAACAACUGUGAAUACAAUGAAGAGCAUUAAAAACAUAUUCAAACUGAAUUUCUAGGCCAAAUGCUCAGUUCUCCAUAGUUUUUAUUUCUGUAUCAUGUCAGACUGAUAACUUUUAUUUUCAUCAAUGGAGGAGCAUAUUCAAGCUAUUUUAGGAUUCAAACACUAUCGAAGUUACAACUCUUGCUCAGAUAACAGAAGCAUCACAGUUCAGACACCUUUGCAGAACUGGAAGUUGCUUCUUGUGGUUGAAGUCCUGUGUGCUAUAAAUACAAAAGCUGAAAAACUGAAUUCAUACUGACUGUGAACAGAGACAGAGUGAUAAAGAGCUUUAUAUUAAUCUGGAUUUCCCUUUCAGAUUGUUAGAGCCAACAUGGCCUAUUUUCAAGGACCUUGGCAAGACCUACUUAUCUGUGGCUGAGGUAUCUGUGGCUGUAGACAAAUAUUGCUUGGCACUUUCAGUUGUGAUUAUAUUUCCAUUUCAAAACCACAUGGAUAGCACUUGGUCACUCUUUUUGUGAUUCUGUCUUAUACUUGACAUAGCCUGAAAUCAUACUUAAAGCCUAAAUUUAAAUGGUAGAUAUCACACUUUCCUCUUGCCAUAUGAGAAUGCCCUUAUAUACACAUGUCUGCAUAUGACAGACCCUCCCUCACCUCAACCAGCUGAAUACAUUGUCAUCUUUCAUAGCAGAAAAAACUGAGGGUGAAACAUCCUGUGUUCUCUAGAUGGCUCUUGAAUAUUGAUGAAAACGCAGGUGGGAACUAAAGUUACAUCAAGCCAUUGUAGACAUAAGACAUUUAGAAUUUUUCAUAGGAAGCGUAACUCAUCCUUGGAAGGGCUUUUUAAGACUUGUGACAGAUUCACUCAGUAUUUGGUAACUUCCAGUAGCUGGGAUUGCAAAGCUGGAGAGAUGCACGUUGGUUCACAGGUUUCUGAAGGGGAGUUGCAGCUCAGGGCUUAAAUGGUAGACAGCAUUGACGGACAGGAUGACCCCUUGUUGAUCAAAACACUAGUCUGUAGCAGAACUAUAGACUUUGAACUUUGCGACACUGAAUAUUGCAGUUUGAGUCUAUGUGGAAGGAACACUGAAUUAGACUCCUAAGCAAUAACCUCACUCUGGGAGUUUCCAAUAGCAUUGCAAAGCUGUGUCCAGGGUUUAGUCUGCACCACAGACCAGGCUCUAGGGAUGUCAAAUUAGACACAUUUCGUGCAUACUGCUUAGGGUAAAUGUGUUUGUACAGGCUCUUGUUAGAUAUAGACAGAAUAAGACAGUGCACUCAGUCUUCUUGCCAUACAACCAGUUUGUUGGAAGUUAGCACUACCACUUCUGGUGAUUAACCACCAUCACUUAAAAUUAUAAUUGGUUUAAUAGUUGAACUAUGGAUAUGUAAUUUCUAUCAUACUAAUGAAAUAAACCUCAUCAUCUCUUAAAUGAUGACUUGGAGGCUGAAAGGCAAAAC